GAAGCUAGUUAAAUGUCAAUUAAAAGGCAGAGUCACAAGAGUGAAAUGCCUACAAGCUGCAUGGAGACUAUUAAAAACACCAUAACUGAGACAGUAAAAG